CUGCCACUGAGGAAAGAUCUCUUUCUGGAGAUUGCUCUUUGUGGAGUUUAUUGUGAGCCUACAACAUUGGUAACAGUGCCUGAGGAGAUACAUUAAGGGAAACAGAAGGCUCCUCUUCCUCAUCUCUAACGUGUUUGGCUGCAGACACCACUAGCUGAAAUUCUGAAUGACAAGCAUCAUUUCUAAGACCACAGUUUCACUUAGAGAAGUGGAGCGGAGUUGGAGGAGGAGAUGGAGGAAGAGAGAUUAAACAAAUGGAGCAAACAGAUGGAGAAAUGGAAUAGAAUCAUUGCUGGUAAGUUGUGCCUGGGUUUGACAAAGAAAGCAUACAAUGACUUCAUGUACUUUGCAUUACUCUUUAGCCCUCCUAAAUUUGGUUUACAACUGUUCGUAAGUGCAGAAUUGUCCUAAUAUACUCUUAGGAAUAUAGUUUAUUUUUUGAUGAAGCCAGAUGGAAUAGAAUCACAGAAUUACAAAGGUUGGAAAAGACCAUCCAGUCCAACCAUCCACCUACCACCAAU